rnacentral:rRNA from 1 species
AGAGUUUGAUCCUGGCUCAGGAUGAACGCUAGCGGCAGGCCUAAUACAUGCAAGUCGAACGGGAGUAGCAAUACUCUAGUGGCGCACGGGUGCGUAACGCGUAUGCAACCUACCUUUCAGUGGGGGAUAGCCCGGGGAAACCCGGAUUAAUACCGCAUAAGAUAGUUGAAUGGCAUCAUUUAAUUAUGAAACAUUUAUGGCUGAAAGAUGGGCAUGCGUUAGAUUAGCUAGUUGGUGAGGUAGAGGCUCACCAAGGCUAUGAUCUAUAGGGGUUCUGAGAGGAAGAUCCCCCACACUGGUACUGAGACAGGGACCAGACUCCUACGGGAGGCAGCAGUAGGGAAUAUUGGGCAAUGGAGGCAACUCUGACCCAGCCAUGCCGCGUGCAGGAAGAAGGCCUUCUGGGUUGUAAACUGCUUUUGGAAGGGAACAAAAAGGCGCUGCGGCGCAACUUGAGUGUACCUUCAGAAUAAGCACCGGCUAACUCCGUGCCAGCAGCCGCGGUAAUACGGAGGGUGCAAGCGUUGUCCGGAUUUAUUGGGUUUAAAGGGUGCGUAGGCGGCUUAUUAAGUCAGGGGUGAAAGACUGCAGCUCAACUGUAGCAGUGCCUUUGAUACUGAUGAGCUUGAGUACAGAUGGGGCAGGCGGAAUGGGUGGUGUAGCGGUGAAAUGCAUAGAUACCAUCCAGAACACCGAUUGCGAAGGCAGCCUGCUAAACUGUAACUGACGCUGAGGCACGAAAGCGUGGGGAUCGAACAGGAUUAGAUACCCUAGUAGUCC